GUCUCUAUGUUAAUAUAGACACAGUGUAAUCUCUGAGAUCAAUAUACAGAGAAAGGAGGAAAAAAGCUAGAAUUCUAUGCACUACUA